rnacentral:rRNA from 1 species
AGGCAAUGCCCAGUAACGGCGAGUGAGCGGCAACAGCUCAAAUUUGAAAUCUGGCCCCCAGGGCCCGAGUUGUAAUUUGCAGAGGAUGCUUUUGGCGCGGUGCCUUCCGAGUUCCCUGGAACGGGACGCCAUAGAGGGUGAGAGCCCCGUCUGGUCGGACGCCUAGCCUGUGUAAAGCUCCUUCGACGAGUCGAGUAGUUUGGGAAUGCUGCUCUAAAUGGGAGGUAUAUGUCUUCUAAAGCUAAAUACCGGCCAGAGACCGAUAGCGCACAAGUAGAGUGAUCGAAAGAUGAAAAGCACUUUGAAAAGAGGGUUAAAUAGUACGUGAAAUUGUUGAAAGGGAAGCGCUUGUGACCAGACUUGGGCCCGGUGGAUCAUCCAGCGUUCUCGCUGGUGCACUCCGCCGGGUUCAGGCCAGCAUCAGUUCGCCGCGGGGGAAAAAGGCUUCGGGAACGUGGCUCCUACGGGAGUGUUAUAGCCCGUUGCAUAAUACCCUGGGGCGGACUGAGGUUCGCGCUCCGCAAGGAUGCUGGCGUAAUGGUCAUCAGCGACCCGUCUUGAAACACGGACCA